rnacentral:tRNA from 1 species
GCGGAUGUGGCGGAACUGGUAGACGCGCUGAUUUCAGGGGUCAGUGGGGCGACUCGUGCAGAUUCGAAUUCUGUCAUCCGCACCA